rnacentral:rRNA from 1 species
UUUCCUACGGGAGGCAGCAGUGGGGAAUAUUGGACAAUGGGGGGAACCCUGAUCCAGCGACGCCGCGUGAGUGAAGAAGUAUUUCGGUGUGUAAAGCUCUAUCAGCAGGGAAGAAAGAAAUGACGGUACCUGACUAAGAAGCCCCGGCUAACUACGUGCCAGCAGCCGCGGUAAUACGUAGGGGGCAAGCGUUAUCCGGAUUUACUGGGUGUAAAGGGAGCGUAGACGGUUACGCAAGUCUGGAGUGAAAGGCGGGGGCCCAACCCCCGGACUGCGUUGGAAACGGU